AUUCUUUCGGAGAUUUCUUUGGAAUGAUACAGAGAAGAUUAGCAUGACUCAUAUACAAUGAUGACACGAGAAAUAGUCCAAAAAAAUUGCCAAUUGAU
rnacentral:snRNA from 1 species